CGUACCGCUUAGAUCAGAGUCUGACGGAGCACGCCGCGUGAGUGAUGAAGGUUUUCGGAUCGUAAAGCUCUGUUGUUAGGGAAGAACAAGUGCAAGAGUAACUGCUUGCACCUUGACGGUACCUAACCAGAAAGCCACGGCUAACUACGUGCCAGCAGCCGCGGUAAUACGUAGGUGGCAAGCGUUGUCCGGAAUUAUUGGGCGUAAAGGGCUCGCAGGCGGUUUCUUAAGUCUGAUGUGAAAGCCCCCGGCUCAACCGGGGAGGGUCAUUGGAAACUGGGAAACUUGAGUGCAGAAGAGGAGAGUGGAAUUCCACGUGUAGCGGUGAAAUGCGUAGAGAUGUGGAGGAACACCAGUGGCGAAGGCGACUCUCUGGUCUGUAACUGACGCUGAGGAGCGAAAGCGUGGGGAGCGAACAGGAUUAGAUACCCCGGUAGUCA
rnacentral:rRNA from 1 species